rnacentral:lncRNA from 1 species
GGAGGUCUGCGAUCCCAACGAGUUGAUGGCCAUCUCGACCAUGAAGAGGGGACUUCGAAAUUUCAGGUUUGCAAAUAUUUUCUAGAUAAAACAUUCCCUUGAUCGUAUGCUGAAUUUCUCGAGCGUGCACAGUACUAUAUGUGCACUGAGGAAGGCGCUAUUGACUAGUGCCAAACCGAAGGAAGAGGUCAGAAGAAACAAAAGAAGAAUGGAGCUCCAGUAAGACCAAGCA